rnacentral:rRNA from 1 species
CAAAGGAAUUGACGGGGCCCGGCACAAGCGGUGGAGUAUGUGGUUUAAUUCGAUGCAACGCGAAGAACCUUACCUGGUCUUGACAUCCCGGAGACCCUUAGGAAACUAGGGGGUGCUUCCAUCUGGAAGAAUCUGGAGACAGGUGCUGCAUGGCUGUCGUCAGCUCGUGUCGUGAGAUGUUGGGUUAAGUCCCGCAACGAGCGCAACCCUUGCCUUUAGUUGCCAGCAGUUCGGCUGGGCACUCUAAAGGGACUGCCGGUGUUAAACCGGAGGAAGGUGGGGAUGACGUCAAGUCCUCAUGGCCUUUAUGACCAGGGCUACACACGUACUACAAUGGCCGAUACAAAGGGCAGCGACACUGCGAGGUGAAGCCAAUCCCGUAAAAUCGGUCUCAGUCCGGAUUGGAGUCUGCAACUCGACUCCAUGAAGUUGGAAUCGCUAGUAAUCGUGGAUCAGCAUGCCACGGUGAAUACGUUCCCGGGCCUU